rnacentral:rRNA from 1 species
CACGUAGUCGGCUUUGCAAGUCGGUUGUGAAAUCCCCGGGCUCAACCUGGGAACUGCAUCCGAGACUGCAUUGCUAGAGUAUGGGAGAGGAAAGCGGAAUUUCUGGUGUAGCAGUGAAAUGCGUAGAUAUCAGAAGGAACAUCAGUGGCGAAGGCGGCUUUCUGGACCAAUACUGACGAUCAGGUGCGAAAGCGUGGGGAGCAAACAGGAUUAGAUACCCUGGUAGUCCACGCCCUAAACGAUGACAACUGGAUGUCGGGAGGGUUUGCCUUCCGGUGUCGUAGCUAACGCGUUAAGUUGUCCGCCUGGGAAGUACGGCCGCAAGGUUGAA